rnacentral:rRNA from 1 species
UGGAGAGUUUGAUCCUGGCUCAGAUUGAACGCUGGCGGCAGGCCUAACACAUGCAAGUCGAGCGGUARCACAGAGAGCUUGCUCUCGGGUGACGAGCGGCGGACGGGUGAGUAAUGUCUGGGAAACUGCCUGAUGGAGGGGGAUAACUACUGGAAACGGUAGCUAAUACCGCAUAACGUCGCAAGACCAAAGAGGGGGACCUUCGGGCCUCUUGCCAUCAGAUGUGCCCAGAUGGGAUUAGCUAGUAGGUGGGGUAACGGCUCACCUAGGCGACGAUCCCUAGCUGGUCUGAGAGGAUGACCAGCCACACUGGAACUGAGACACGGUCCAGACUCCUACGGGAGGCAGCAGUGGGGAAUAUUGCACAAUGGGCGCAAGCCUGAUGCAGCCAUGCCGCGUGUAUGAAGAAGGCCUUCGGGUUGUAAAGUACUUUCAGCGGGGAGGAAGGYGWUGAGGUUAAUAACCUYGKCGAUUGACGUUACCCGCAGAAGAAGCACCGGCUAACUCCGUGCCAGCAGCCGCGGUA